UAACAGAAUCGUUUUAAUCUUGAACUUUCCUCUUGAUUUCAUCACGAAACUUGGACUUUCAACAUUUCGUUUAAGAGCAUGAAGCGUCUGGUAAAUUUCCUAGUGAUGCAAGUUAUACAAGGAGUAAUAUUGUUUAUAAUCCAUACGACUUAAAUCCUUUCACACGUGUCGUCGAAUCGUUUAAAUAGUUCGUUGAAGGGUUAAAGUUCUAAAAGGAAAAGUGUGAGACAUUUUUAAGAGACGCGUAAGAAAUCAGCCAUUCCAGUGUCAGAAACGAAAACGUUUUUCUCGACUCCUGAGCACUGCUGAUAAAUUCACAUUUUUCACCGACAAGUGUCUCCCAUUCGUGUACUUCGCUCCCAUCGCUGAUAUUUUCCAUGCGAGCAGCAAUAAGAGAGAGAGAGAGAGAGAGAGGGAGAAAGAAUCCAUCUACCGUAACCUUGCACCGAGGAGUCAAGUGUUGCCAACCACGGUAACUUACCCCGUAACCUAGAGCGAUGAAAAAUAUCGGAUCAGCCCCCUGCAUGGCAGGUAGGGUUCCGCGUGGAGGGGGCCCGCGCGCAGAAACGAGUCCUGGGCUGGCUUCGGAACACGGUGGAUCCACGGAAACGCUUGGAUCGAGGAAUUUCUUGCGUUACGAGUUGGUGGCGAGCGGUGAUACGGGAUCUAGCGAGUGGAACGGAUAAAUUUCACCUCGUAUCUCGUUUAACCUCGUAUAGGGAAGAUGCGCGAAGGGCGAAGAGAAGGGAUGUCGUAAGAUAAAUUUAUAUCCAUGAAAUCAUCGUUUUUGUUUCGGAUAAAAUACGAAUAAAAAAAGUUUGCUUUUUUAAGUACAGAUGAAAAUUUAAAUCUCGGAGACUGAAAAAUUCCUCUUCUUUAACGAAAGUUUCUAUUACGUGGAGCAUAAUAAGUUUAUCGAAUAAUUUUUUUCUUUUUUUUUUUCGUCGAAGAAACACGAUUCUUCGAACAGAUGAAAUCAAGUUUCCAAAGUUUCAUGUUUUCAAUGCAAUUUAAUGCUUGGGAACUUUUUUAACGAUAAAUAGAUAUGAAUUGUAUUUAAAUUAUAGCGUUAAAUCGUAUUUAGAGAAACGGAAAGGUAUUGUGACUUGGAAUAAGAAA